rnacentral:misc_RNA from 1 species
CGUGGGACUGCGGAUAAUGGUCUUCAGAAGAUUUAUAAGCAAGUCACAACAUGGAAGAUUGAUUCUUCACGUAUAGAGCCAGCAAUUUCAGUUUUGUCUAAAGAGAAUGAUUGGAUCAAACUUGAAAAACCAAGAAAGGCUUUCCAGGAUACCAUUAGGUCAAUCUUGGUCACUGUGCAUUCGUUACACUUCCUGAAAAGAAAUCCAGAAUCUUCUGGCAGAGCUUUGUGGGAUCAUUUAUCUAAAGUUUUCAGUGUGUAUGAGCCCAGGCCUUCGGAAAAUGAUCUAGUGGAUCACAUGAAUUUUAUCAAUGAAAUUGUUAAGCGUGAUGGAAAAUUGGCG